rnacentral:tRNA from 1 species
UGAGGUGUAGCAUAGUCCGGUCAUCGCGUCCCGCCUCAGCGGGAAGGUCGCAGGUUCGAAUCCUGCCACCCCGA